rnacentral:rRNA from 1 species
UACGUAGGGGGCAAGCGUUAUCCGGAUUUACUGGGUGUAAAGGGAGCGUAGACGGUGAUGCAAGUCAGAAGUGAAAGCCCGGGGCUCAACUCCGGGACUGCUUUUGAAACUGUGUGACUGGAGUGCAGGAGAGGUAAGCGGAAUUCCUGGUGUAGCGGUGAAAUGCGUAGAUAUCAGGAGGAAUACCGUUAGCGAAGGCGGCAAUCUGGCUGGAAACUGACGCUGAGGUGCGAAAGCGUGGGUAGCAAACAGG